rnacentral:rRNA from 1 species
UACGGGGGGGGCAAGCGUUGUUCGGAAUUACUGGGCGGAAAGGGCUCGUAGGCGGCCAACUAAGUCAUACGUGAAAUCCCCCGGCUUAACCGGGGAACUGCGUCUGAUACUGGAUGGCUUGAGUUCGGGAGAGGGAUGCGGAAUUCCAGGUGUAGCGGUGAAAUGCGUAGAUAUCUGGAGGAACACCGGUGGCGAAGGCGGCAUCCGGGACCGAUACUGACGCUGAGGAGCGAAAGCCAGGGGAGCAAACGGG